CCUACGGGAGGCAGCAGUGGGGAAUCUUGCGCAAUGGGCGAAAGCCUGACGCAGCCAUGCCGCGUGAAUGAUGAAGGUCUUAGGAUUGUAAAAUUCUUUCACCGAGGACGAUAAUGACGGUACUCGGAGAAGAAGCCCCGGCUAACUUCGUGCCAGCAGCCGCGGUAAUACGAAGGGGGCUAGCGUUGCUCGGAAUUACUGGGCGUAAAGGGAGCGUAGGCGGAUAGUUUAGUCAGAGGUGAAAGCCCAGGGCUCAACCUUGGAAUUGCCUUUGAUACUGGCUAUCUUGAGUACGGAAGAGGUAUGUGGAACUCCGAGUGUAGAGGUGAAAUUCGUAGAUAUUCGGAAGAACACCAGUGGCGAAGGCGACAUACUGGUCCGUUACUGACGCCGAGGCUCGAAAGCGUGGGGAGCAAACAGGAUUAGAUACCCUGGUAGUCCACGCUGUAAACGAUGAGUGCUAGUUGUCGGCAUGCAUGCAUGUCGGUGACGCAGCUAACGCAUUAAGCACUCCGCCUGGGGAGUACGGUCGCAAGAUUAAAACUUAAAGGAAUUGACGG
rnacentral:rRNA from 1 species